AGGUGCUGCAUGGUUGUCGUCAGCUCGUGCCGUGAGGUGUCGGGUUAAGUCCCAUAACGAGCGCAACCCCUACCUUAGUUGCCAUCAGGUUAAGCUGGGGACUCUAAAGGAACUGCCUACGCAAGUAGUGAGGAAGGCGGGGAUGACGUCAAAUCAGCACGGCCCUUACGUCCAGGGCUACACACGUGCUACAAUGGCCGAUACAGAGGGCAGCUACCUGGUGACAGGAUGCAAAUCUCCAAAGUCGGUCUCAGUUCGGAUCGGAGUCUGCAACCCGACUCCGUGAAGUUGGAUUCGCUAGUAAUCGCGCAUCAGCCAUGGCGCGGUGAAUACGUUCCCGGGCCUU
rnacentral:rRNA from 1 species